rnacentral:rRNA from 1 species
ACGGGUGAGUAACGCGUAAAGAACUUGCCCUGCAGACAGGGAUAACAGACGGAAACGACUGACAACACCUGAUACAGUUGCCGGCACGCAUGUGCCCGGCAAUGAAAAGAGAUGCUGCGGGAGAGCUUUGCGUCCUAUUAGCUUGUUGGCGGGGUAACGGCCCACCAAGGCGAUGAUAGGUAGCCGGCCUGAGAGGGUGGACGGCCACAAGGGGACUGAGAUACGGCCCUUACUCCUACGGGAGGCAGCAGUGGGGAAUAUUGGGCAAUGGGGGCAACCCUGAUCCAGCAAUUCUGUGUGCACGAGGAAGGUUUUCGGAUUGUAAAGUGCUUUCAGCAGGGAAGAAGGAAGUGACGGUACCUGCAGAAGAAGCGACGGCUAAAUACGUGCCAGCAGCCGCGGUAAUACGUAUGUCGCAAGCGUUAUCCGGAAUUAUUGGGCAUAAAGGGCAUCUAGGCGGCCAGGCAAGUCCGGGGUGAAAACUUGCGGCUCAACCGCAAGCCUGCCCUGGAAACUGCCUGGCUAGAGUGCUGGAGAGGUGGACGGAACUGCACGAGUAGAGGUGAAAUUCGUAGAUAUGUGCAGGAAUGCCGAUGAUGAAGAUAGUUCACUGGACGGCAACUGACGCUG